UGUACUUGGCAUAGUGGUUUAAGCAUUAGACUAUGACUCUGGAGACCAGGAUUCAAUUCCCAGCUCAGGCAUAA